UACAGAGGUCCCAAGCGUUGUUCGGAUUCACUGGGCGUAAAGGGUGCGUAGGCGGUCGGGUAAGUCUGAUGUGAAAUCCCGCAGCUUAACUGCGGAACGGCAUUGGAUACUAUUCGGCUUGAGGAAUGGAGGGGAGACUGGAAUUCUCGGUGUAGCAGUGAAAUGCGUAGAUAUCGAGAGGAACACCAGUGGCGAAGGCGAGUCUCUGGACAUUUCCUGACGCUGAGGCACGAAAGCCAGGGGAGCAAACGGG
rnacentral:rRNA from 1 species